UUCAGCUUGUUGCUGCUUGACUCAAGUUUAUGAGAUAGUUUCUGCAAAGUCAAAGUAAAUAGUAACGUAUAAUUAAUGUCAUAGAAAUAUCUUUAAAAAUAUAAUAGAAACAUUGUAGCAAAUAUUGUAACACAAGGUAGAGAGCAACAAAGAGAAGACUGUGACAUACAAGGGGGUGCUGAAAAGUUUGCAUAUUCAGGAAAAUAAAUUUAAGCACCAUUUUGCAUACAGGAGCUGGAGAAUAUUUUUUGAGGCAUUUUUUUUGGAAAAAAAGUACAUUUUAUAUGCCAUCAAACGUGGUAUGUUCAAUGCUAAUAUUAUUUAUGUACACUUCAAUUAUUAAUGAUUGUAUCUAUUUAUGUUGUGUGAAAAAUUUGAAAACCAGAAGUGGAUAUUUAGAAUAACAAAUAUCAAUGGAGCAAACUUGAUAAGAAAAUUAUAGUAAUUGACAAAAUUUCCCUCAGCAUAUCUUCAUGAAAUUUUAUCUCUGAAAAUAAUACAUAAAAUGUCUUUGAAGUUGGGCACAACAACAAAGGGUCUGAAACUAGUCUCUUCUUGUGUUUCAGAAUCCAACAUCUAUUAAUCAACAAAUAUUAAUGUCACCCAGUCUGUAUGGCACAUGAUGAGAUCAGGAUUUGAAGUAACAACCUAGUUGGUUUGCAUCUUUUGUUUCUUAUAAACUUUCGGUUCCAUUAUGACACUCAGACACCAUUUCUUGAAUGGUUAAUUAUUAAGACCUAAACAGAAAAGGAUAAGCAAUAAAAUUGAUCUGUUUCUAUGACAAUGUUACCUUGAAACCAAACUAAAUGGUUGAACAACUUCAUUAUUUGAGUUACAAAGCAAUAAUACUUGUCAAGCUUAAUUUAAAUGCUGUAUAAUUAUCAUCAAUUAUUGCAGACAAAAGAAUGAAAUGUAGCUUUAAUUAUAGUUAAUGGCUGAUACCAUUUAGAGACCUAAGCUUUUAUGUUAUCACUGAAAUAAUACAGAUUGGAUACAAAUUUCCAAUCACUAAGAAUUUUCAGACCAAAAUAGGUUCCAAUCAUAUUACUUUAUAGAAAUCAACAAUUCACUACACUAAUAAACAUAGUAAAUAAUACAGGCAAACAAUUUUUAGCAUCCAUUUUAGUCAACCGUAUUAUCAUGCUGACUGUUUGAAAUGAAGUUUUAUUGCCACAGCUUAUUAGAAACUUGUGAUAAUGAAGAUAUUCUAUUGAUAUGGUUUAGCGAUAUAUUGGGAAAAGUUUCAUAUACUAACAGGAGUAAUAAAGUAAAUUAAAAGUGGUCUUAACCAUGGUUUUCCCCCAUCUGAUUAUAGCUCACUCAAAUUUUGACUCCAUCUCUCUUUUAAACUUGCAAGAAAAUCAAUUUAAGUCUUACUCUUCAAAAUUCUUACAGCCCACAACAGCUAAACAUAUCAAACAAAAGUCUUGAAUAAAAGGAAAACAGAAAUAAAAUGGAAAAUAAAAAGAACAAUCUUUCUUUGUUUUUGCUGUUAGCAUUUAGAUUCAGAUCAGUCCAUGAUUGAACAGAUUUAUGAUUAAAGCUAUUGCAGUUGUGAUGAUCCUUUCUUUUUGUAUAUCAGGGAUUAAGAACUAUCUUAUUUAAUAUGACCAUCCUUUUUUUUUUUUUUUGAUUGAUAAGACUGUAAGAUAUGAGUCAACGAAGGCAGCACGGAGGCUUCCACCACAAGGUUCAGUUCUUACUGAAGUGUGGUGGAGUGUGUGCUGCACUGAAUCUGAGAACUAUGCUAGUGAAGUGCAAGAUCCUAGCAGAAUCCCUCAUGGUGGACAAGUCAAAAGAUAGAGGCCAGACUAAUAUGGAUCAUCUCUUCUCAGAGAUAAAAAUGGGUUUGCAUAGGGUCAAAACCCCUACCUAGAAAAGAAGCAAAGUUACAGAAGCAUCAAAGACACUUCAAAACCAACAAGACCUGAGAGAGGAAAAGAUCCCAGAGUUAAGAACAGUGGUGAAAAGUUGUUGAUGGCUGAUGAGCCACAGGAGGAGAAAGAUUUAAGCAAGGUGAGAUUUGAGGGAAAUUUGGCUGCUACUUCCAGAAUGUGAAAAGAUCACAUAAAGGCUGCUGGAUCACGGAUUUAUUUUUGUAAGAAUUUCAAGUCUUUAAAGGCAAAAAGCCAGUGGAUAAUUAGUUGACAGAAGAAAUGACAACAGUCUUGGUAAUUGACUUUCAUAGAACACACUCACACACACACACACACACACACAUUUUCAUCAUGUUGAACACACACAUAUAUUUUCAAUCAAGUUGAACCGUUAUUUCCUACACAUUAAUUCCAACACAUCCAUACAUUCAUUUUCACCAUGUUGAAGCAUUAAACCCUACACGUUUGUUUUCUCUCUCCGUUUGUUUUUUUUCAUUCUCUCCCUUUUUUCCCACUUAAUCCUUUCUGUUGAAGAGCAUAGGCUCAAAACAUCAAAGACUUUUCCAUUCUUCCCAAGCGUCAAACAAAUACACCUGCUCAUUGUUCCAUCACCAGUCUUCGUCUUUUUUUGUUUCCAAUAAAUUUGAACUACAUACAUGCAUACAUAUAUAAAUAUGUUUAUAGGCACAGGUAAGGAAUUUGCUUCACAACCAAAUGGAUACAACUUCAAUCACAGUAUGUGGCACAUUGUGUAAGUGUCUUCUAAUAUAACAUCCUCCACAAUUUAUUGUAUUGUAUCAUCCAAAUGUGUUGCAUGCAAACUAAUAGAGCCCAUGUGGAAGUGUUCUGAUGUUUCUAUUAAAACUUUAUUAGUUUGCCAAUAGACUCUGCUAAGUUCUCUUUACUUUUCAGUCUUUUUCUGAAUUUUUCAAAUUGUAACGAUAAUUUACGGAUAACCCGUGUGUGUGUA